CUUUUUUUUCUUCUUGGCAGAACAGGGGACUCACGUUCCCCCACUCCUUUCUUCAUGGAAACAAAGCAUAGGGCCGACCACACCCAUGCAAUAACCCUGACCGAUAAUGACCUCUUGGCACCAGUGAUGAUGGUUCUGGUCCUCAGCAAGCAAGGCCAUCUUUGGCAAUGGUGGUCGAUCUGAUAGAAGGAAAAUCAGAAUUAAAAUUGGGGAGGUUUGGUUCCC
rnacentral:lncRNA from 1 species